GACAGAGGAGCCAAGCGUUGUCCGGACUGACUGGGCGUAAAGCGCACGCAGGCGGCGCUGCGCGUGGGGUGUGAAAGCUCUUGGCUUAACUGAGAGAGGCCAUCCCAUACGGCAGUGCUCGAGCGGUGCAGAGGUCCGCGGAAUUGCCGGUGUAGUGGUGAAAUGCGUAGAGAUCGGCAGGAACACCCAGGGGGAAACCAGCGGACUGGGCAUCAGCUGACGCUCAGGUGCGACAGCGUGGGGAGCGAGCCGG
rnacentral:rRNA from 1 species